UGGGGAGUACGGCCGCAAGGUUAAAACUCAAAUGAAUUGACGGGGGCCCGCACAAGCGGUGGAGCAUGUGGUUUAAUUCGAUGCAACGCGAAGAACCUUACCUGGUCUUGACAUCCACAGAACUUUCCAGAGAUGGAUUGGUGCCUUCGGGAACUGUGAGACAGGUGCUGCAUGGCUGUCGUCAGCUCGUGUUGUGAAAUGUUGGGUUAAGUCCCGCAACGAGCGCAACCCUUAUCCUUUGUUGCCAGCGGUCCGGCCGGGAACUCAAAGGAGACUGCCAGUGAUAAACUGGAGGAAGGUGGGGAUGACGUCAAGUCAUCAUGGCCCUUACGACCAGGGCUACACACGUGCUACAAUGGCGCAUACAAAGAGAAGCGACCUCGCGAGAGCAAGCGGACCUCAUAAAGUGCGUCGUAGUCCGGAUUGGAGUCUGCAACUCGACUCCAUGAAGUCGGAAUCGCUAGUAAUCGUGGAUCAGAAUGCCACGGUGAAUACGUUCCCGGGCCUUGUACACACC
rnacentral:rRNA from 1 species